rnacentral:rRNA from 1 species
CCUAAAGCGUCCGUAGCCGGUUUAAUAAGUCUCUGGUGAAAUCCUGCAGCUUAACUGGUGGGAAUUGCUGGAGAUACUAUAGACUUGAGACCGGGAGAGGUUAGAGGUACUCCCAGGGUAGAGGUGAAAUUCUGUAAUCCUGGGAGGACCGCCUGUUGCGAAGGCGUCUAGCUGGAACGGUUCUGACGGUGAGGGACGAAAGUUAGGGGCGCGAACCGGAUUAGAUACCCGGGUAGUCCUAACUGUAAACGAUGCGGACUUGGUGUUGGGGUGGCUUUGAGCUGCUUCAGUGCCGAAGGGAAGCUGUUAAGUCCGCCGCCUGGGAAGUACGGUCGCAAGACUGAAACUUAAGGAAUUGGCGGGGGAGCACCACAACGCGUGGAGCCUGCCGGUUUAAUUGGAUUCAACGCCGGACAUCUCACCAGAGGCGACAGCUGUAUGAUAGCCAGGUUGAUGACUUUGCUUGACUAGCUGAGAGGAGGUGCAUGG